GUGGGGAAUUUUGGACAAUGGGCGCAAGCCUGAUCCAGCCAUGCCGCGUGAGUGAAGAAGGCCUUCGGGUUGUAAAGCUCUUUCGGCCGGGAAGAAAUCGGCGACUCUAACAUAGUCGCUGGAUGACGGUACCGGACUAAGAAGCACCGGCUAACUACGUGCCAGCAGCCGCGGUAAUACGUAGGGUGCGAGCGUUAAUCGGAAUUACUGGGCGUAAAGCGUGCGCAGGCGGUUUUGUAAGACAGAUGUGAAAUCCCCGGGCUUAACCUGGGAAGUGCGUUUGUGACUGCAAGGCUAGAGUACGGCAGAGGGGGGUGGAAUUCCUGGUGUAGCAGUGAAAUGCGUAGAUAUCAGGAGGAACACCGAUGGCGAAGGCAGCCCCCUGGGCCUGUACUGACGCUCAUGCACGAAAGCGUGGGGAGCAAACAGGAUUAGAUACCCGAGUAGUCC
rnacentral:rRNA from 1 species